AACGAACGCUGGCGGCGUGCCUAACACAUGCAAGUCGAACGAGAAAGGGGCUUCGGCUCCGAGUAAAGUGGCGCACGGGUGAGUAACACGUAGGUAACCUGCCUCUAAGAUUGGGAUAACCUGUCGAAAGACGAGCUAAUACCAAAUAAGACCACAGUCUCUUCGGGGACAGGGGUCAAAGGUAGCCUCUAUUUAUAAGCUAUCGCUGAGAGAUGGGCCUGCGUACCAUUAGCUAGUUGGUGAGGUAACGGCUCACCAAGGCAAAGAUGGUUAGCUGGUCUGAGAGGAUGAUCAGCCACACUGGAACUGAGACACGGUCCAGACUCCUACGGGAGGCUG
rnacentral:rRNA from 1 species